GUUUUUUUUCUGAUUUGUACUUUUGAUUCAUGAUCUGAUUUUUCAUAAGGAAGCCUCGACAGCGUUUGUUUUCCUAUUGAAGAUCUCACAUUCAAGUCUUCACUGUCAAGAGCAAGCAGGGGAUAGAAUGUACCAAGUAACUUAGCAACCAUCCAAAUUCCAUCCACAUUCCAGGCCUGUGCUCCAGUUCUAUGGGAAACACCAUUCAAUCCAGAAAUAGACAAGAAAGAGGGUUGAAACCUUCAUGACAAUGCUAGAGAAUUAACAGUGAGAGAUGCAUUAAGCAACAACACAGUUUUGCCUUUUACAAGCUCCCUGAGGUUUUUAUUUCAGUCAGAGGACCAAGAUUUCAGUUCAAGUCACUGGAAGAAAAGAGCUGUCAUUUAUGCUCUCUACUUACAGGUAAAUUGUCUUGUGAUUAUUUCCACAGAACUCUGACGUGGAUAAGGAUUAUAUCUUUUGUGAUGAUAUGAAUGAUACAUCUUAGCCCCUUUACUUGCUAGAUGACUUCUCUUUAUUUCACAAUCAGAUAAGAACAGAGAAGACUCAAGCUGAUUAGCAGAUUUUUUGUUUUCCUCUCAAACUACAGCUACCUAAGAUCAGAACCCUCUGAUCAUUUGUGCUGCUAUUUUAAGAUCCAGUUUCAUUCUACAACUGGCUGAAGCAUGAAGUCAACUAAAAUAAAGAGAAUUGAGUGGAACUGAACUGAACUGAAGUGAAAUAAUGUGAUUUCCAGUAAACCUGACACCUUAAGGACAGAACAUGAGCCUUGCCCAUCUUCCUCCCAGAGUUCCCAGCACAAUCACCGACUUACACAAUACUCUCAGUGCAUGAGUGAUGAAUUUCACUAACAGCGACCCAUCUCUCUCUACAUAAUCCACUCCGGUUUCACCGGAGCUGAGAGUAUCAUGAAUUACAUCUAUAGAUAGCUGUAAGCUAAUGACCAAAGCACAUAACUGAAUUCAAACAUAUUCUUUAUUGCAGUCAGAUGUGAGAAAACAAAAUUUAGAAGACAAGCCAGAAAGGAAAUGAAGAACAUAAAGAGCCUGAAUUCUC
rnacentral:lncRNA from 1 species